AUUGAACGCUGGCGGCAGGCCUAACACAUGCAAGUCGAGCGAGCGGCGGACGGGUGAGUAAUGUCUGGGACACUGCCUGAUGGAGGGGGAUAACUACUGGAAACGGUAUCUAAUCCCGCAUUCUCUCAUAUGUCCCCAGAUGGGAUUAGCUAGUAGGUGGGGUAAUGGCUCACCUAGGCGACGAUCCCUAGCUGGUCUGAGAGGAUGACCAGCCACACUGGAACUGAGACACGGUCCAGACUCCUACGGGAGGCAGCAGUGGGGAAUAUUGCACAAUGGGCGCAAGCCUGAUGCAGCCAUGCCGCGUGUGUGAAGAAGGCCUUCGGGUUGUAAAGCACUUUCAGCGAGGAGGCGUUACUCGCAGAAGAAGCACCGGCUAACUCCGUGCCAGCAGCCGCGGUAAUUC
rnacentral:rRNA from 1 species